GGAAACAAAGUACAAGAGGUAAAAAUUUCAUUCAUAGUCUGCUGCAUCUGCAUAACUGGAUUACUUGUGCUCUCAUUACUCUUCCCCUUCAUUCAGAGAUGAAAUUUUCAAAUUGGAAGUUCAUCUGUCUUUUCAUAAAUAGUUGAAAGCAUUUAGACCUCAUCUCUUGAUAUGAAAUUAUCUUUAAUUUGACUUCAAUACUAAAACCAUUUUAAAUUCUACACUUUUUAUAUUGUUUCUAAGCCCUUGACUUUCACCUCAUAAGAAGCUUGCAUUGAACUCAUUAACAAAAAAAAUCAUAUAGUGCUUGUGCUUUUCCCUCAGAAAACAAAGGUCUAUUGCACAAGAACAUUAACUGUUAACAGCUUAAAGAAUUUAGAUAAUGAUGAUAAAUCCUUUAUUUGAAGCAGGUGAUAGUUGAAGCAUCAUUG
rnacentral:misc_RNA from 1 species